rnacentral:rRNA from 1 species
UACGGAGGGUGCAAGCGUUAUCCGGAUUCACUGGGUUUAAAGGGAGCGUAGGUGGGCUUGUAAGUCAGUGGUGAAAUCUCCGUGCUUAACACGGAAACUGCCAUUGAUACUAUAGGUCUUGAAUGUUCUGGAGGUUAGCGGAAUAUGUCAUGUAGCGGUGAAAUGCUUAGAUAUGCUAUAGAACACCGAUUGCGAAGGCAGCUUACUAAGCCGUUAUUGACGCUGAGGCACGAAAGCGUGGGGAGCAAACAGG